rnacentral:rRNA from 1 species
GGAAAUAGCGGGACCCGGAGAUUGGUAGAUCCGGGCGUAAGGGACCGAAUACGAGUAGGGAAGUCCGCGAUGUUCCGAGGCGAGAAAAGGCGAAGGUAGGGUGCCCGUACCGCAAACCGACACAGGUAGAUGAGGAGAGAAUCCUAAGGCCAACGGGAGAAGGGUUGUUAAGGAACUCGGCAAAAUGACCCCGUAACUUCGGGAUAAGGGGAGCCUGUCUAUGGCAGGCCGCAGAGAAUAGGCCCAAGCGACUGUUUACCAAAAACACAGGUCUAUGCUAAAUCGAAAGAUGACGUAUAUGGGCUGACGCCUGCCCGGUGCUGGAAGGUUAAGAGGAGAUGUCAGGCAACGAAGCAUUGAAUCGAAGCCCCAGUAAACGGCGGCCGUAACAAUAACGGUCCUAAGGUAGCGAAAUUCCUUGUCAGGUAAGUUCUGACCCGCACGAAUGGCGUAACGAUUUGGGCGCUGUCUCAACAGCCCACCUGGCGAAAUUGUUGUACUGGUGAAGAAGCCAGUUACCCGCAACUAGACGGAAAGACCCCAUGGAGCUUUACUGCAGCUUAAUACUGGAAUUCGGUAAUUCAUGUACAGGAUAGGUGGGAGACUGAGAACUAACGUCGUCAGGCGCUAGGGAGUCGCCCUUGGGAUACCACUCUUGAAUUGCUGGGUUUCUAACCUGCGGCCGUGAAUCCGGUCGGGGGACACUGUUAGGCAGACAGUUUGACUGGGGCGGUCGCCUCCUAAAAGGUAACGGAGGCGCUCAAAGGUUGGCUCAGCACGGACGGAAAUCGUGCAAUGAGUGUAAACGUAUAAGCCAGCCUAACUGCGAGAGUGACGGCUCGAGCAGUAACGAAAGUUGGAGUUAGUGAUCCGGUGGUAUGUGAGUGGAAAUGCCAUCGCUCAACGGAUAAAAGCUACCCUGGGGAUAACAGGCUGAUCUCCCCCAAGCGUCCACAGCGACGGGGAGGUUUGGCACCUCGAUGUCGGCUCGUCACAUCCUGGGGCUGUACUCGGUCCCAAGGGUUCGGCUGUUCGCCGAUUAAAGUGGCACGCGAGCUGGGUUCAGAACGUCGUGAGACAGUUCGGUCCCUAUCUGUUGCGGGCGUAAGAGAUUUGAAGGGGGCUGUCCUUAGUACGAGAGGACCGGGAGGGACGCACCUCUGGUGCACCUGUUGUCGUGCCAACGGCAUAGCAGGGUAGCUACGUGCGGACGAGAUAAACGCUGAAAGCAUCUAAGCGUGAAACUUUCCCUAAGAUAAGAUCUCUCAUCCUUUAUGGAGUAAGGCACGAUGUAGACUAUAUCGUAGAUAGGCCGGAGGUGGAAGUGCAGUAAUGUAUGGAGCUGACCGGUACUAAUAAGCCGAGGGCUUGACCU